GAACUUAGCAGAGAUGCUUUGGUGCCUUCGGGAACUCUGAGACAGGUGCUGCAUGGCUGUCGUCAGCUCGUGUUGUGAAAUGUUGGGUUUAAGUCCCGCAACGAGCGCAACCCUUAUCCUUUGUUGCCAGCGGUCCGGCCGGGAACUCAAGGGAGACUGCCAGUGAUAAACUGGAGGAAGGUGGGGAUGACGUCAAGUCAUCAUGGCCCUUACGAGUAGGGCUACACACGUGCUACAAUGGCGCAUACAAAGAGAAGCGACCUCGCGAGAGCAAGCGGACCUCAUAAAGUGCGUCGUAGUCCGGAUUGGAGUCUGCAACUCGACUCCAUGAAGUCGGAAUCGCUAGUAAUCGUGGAUCAGAAUGCCACGGUGAAUACGUUCCCGGGCCUUGUACACACCGCCCGUCACACCAUGGGAGUGGGUUGCAAAAGAAGUAGGUAGCUUAACCUUCGGGAGGGCGCUUACCACUUUGUGAUUCAUGACUGGGGUGAAGUCGUAACAAGGUAGGCGUAGUGCU
rnacentral:rRNA from 1 species